UCGCAGUUGGAACCAUCCUCUCUCGUGGUGCCUGGAUUCGGUUACAUUGUCGUGAGUUAAAAGAAGACGUUAUGAACACUCACACAAGUACACUCACACGCCUGAGCUACUUAUGUUGUGCUGUAUUUUGGACAUUCAAGUUAAAGGCAAACACGUGUCAAGUUAAAGGCAAACUUGUGAAGUCUUGUUACUGUAACGUCAUUUGCUUUCGUUAAGUAGUCUCAACUCACACGAUCCCAGCCUUCGUAAGGAAGAAGAUCCAUAGAGAAGUUUAGGACAUCAGAGACAGCCUUUGCGAUCAAGUAAUCUCGCCCCGUUACAACUGUGACGCGGCUUCCAUCUGGUCCUAAUCGGGAAGAGCGUGUAACCCUCGGCGAUCGCCAAGUCGUCCAUAGAGUUUUCCUUGGCAACGCUUAUGAUUUGUGAUCCUUCCGGGGUGUAGGGCAAGUACGAAAGCACCUGCCACCUUGGGAUAUCGAAAAAAAAAAAAAAAAUGAAAUUAUGAUUCAUCAUUCUGGCGACCCCUGUCUGACUCCUCCGCGAAGGCAGCGAGGAAGACGGGAUCGUCGCUCACAACCACCACCGUCACGCACUUGGAGAGGAAGCGCACCUGUGGCCAUCAGAAUGUUUGUUUAUAACGCAAGACUACAGAGUUCAUUACUAUUUUUAUUAUUAUUAUUUUAACCCUGUUAGGAAAACAAUAUCGUACCAAAA